rnacentral:lncRNA from 1 species
CUGGAUUAUGUCGAGAAGACAUCAUUGCUCUGGCUUGUGCAAGCCUAUCCUGUAAUUCAAUGGAACAGUCGAUGUCCUCCACCACAAGGACGGACUUAUUCUCAGUUGAGAUCAACAAAUUUCUAAGCUCAGAAUUGGUCUUAAGAUCAUUCAAUUCCAGAUCAUAAAUAUCGAACUUAAGAUAGUUAGCUAUUGCAGCAAUCAAGCUCGACUUUCCAGUCCCUGGUGGACCAAACAGUAAGUACCCACGUUUCCAUGCCUUGCCUACCCUCCUAUAGAACUCCCUUCUCUUCACAAACCUCUCAAGAUCCUCCAUGAUCACCCUCUUCCCUUCCAUAUCCAUUGCUAACGUAUCGAAUGUAGCAGGAUGAUGAAGAUUCACUGACUGCCACAAAACCCCUCUCCUCCCCGGCAUCCUGUCAGUGGUUAGCGUGAAAAGCUUCAAACUCUUCUUCUCCUCUUUCGUUUCUUUUGAUUUUUUAAUCACGUGCUUUAAAUAAACAUCAAUAACCAUAUCCCUAUGCUUCUUGUGAAAACUCAACUCAAAGAACUUAUCCUCAUUGUUUGGUAUAGAAUGAAAACUAUGAGGGCUUGGUAUAUAUUUUGUUGGCCCUUGUUUUGAGAUGAACUUCCAUUUCAGAGUAACCCCAUUAAAGGUAUCAACGAUUUCUUGGUUUCUAUCUAAAGAGAGUGAGAAAUUACUCUCUUUCUUGAUCAGUGAGAUCUUGAGUUUCUUUGCAUCCGGAGGAAUUAUGGACUCAAGAUAGAGCUCUGCGGCUUUGAAGAGAUCGUUUUGGUUAAGGUUGUCAUAUUCUUCAAUAACUAAAGUGAACUCCGAAGAAAAAGAGUUGAUCAAGGUUUUGAGUUCGUAGAAGAUGUAUUUUCGGAACUCAGAAGGAAGAUACUGCUUAACAAUGGAGCGGAAGAGCACAAUUGUGGCAGCAGCUGAGGUUGCUGCAGAGAUCAUAGUCUUAGCGGAGGGCAUUUGGGUGGCUGAACUGCUGGGAAACAUGGUUUUAGGCCUCCAAAAGAUUUGUGGGCUUGAAGGGCUCUAAGCGUUUCUGGUGUUGGAGGAUUUUUGGUGUUUAGUCAGAUCCUCUGGCAAAUGCUAUCGAGGAGACUCUCUGUUUUUAUAAUGCAAAAAUCUGAGAGUAGGAAUGGUGUUUGCGAAGUGCAGUGGAAAGAGUUACGAGUGAAUGACGUUGUUUUUGGUGGUAGACUCCUUAUGCAUGAUUGAUACAGUGUACCGAAGAACAUUUGUUUGAUAGCCAUGAAAACUUUUAUGCUUUUCAUUUUGUGAUCAACAUCAUAAUUUGGAUUUUUAGAAAUGAUUUAAUAAUCCAUAUAGAAUUAGGGAUUCGGAUUUCACUCAUGAUUCAAUUAUUGAAAUAAAUCAAUCAAUUAUAUAAAUAAACAUUCCAAUAAUUAAAAAAAAAAGUAUUAACAAUAAAGCUAAUGCUUACAUAGUGAGAAUCCUAUAGUUCCACUCCUAGUCGUGGUUCCAAGGUGAUUUAGGAUCUGUUUUUUUUUUUUUCAUUUAACAAGUGUUCUUGUUUUCUUUUUCAUGGAUCCAUCACUUAACCGCAACAAUACUCGACCGUGCUUUUGUUUUUGGUUUUUGAAGUGGAUUGGAAUUUGGACAGCUAUUUUCCUUUGCAGUGCUUUGCUAUUGGUGAAUUUGGUGUUAAGUCCCGAAUUAUUGGGAGUAAAGAAAAGAUUAUGAAAGUAAAUAUUCCUGAACUUAUUGCUGGUUCUACUCCCUACUGCAUUUUUACUUGUAAUAUAUGUAAAAAUUGUUCGUUAAAUUGAUUAGUUUGAAUAAAACUUGACUAUUGGUUUUUUUUAUCAAUAUCAAGAAUUAACGGAAUAAAAUUAAAAGAUUUCCAAUUAGAGCAAAACUAGAAGCAGCAUGAUUCUAACGAGAUCCGAUAGUAAAGUUACAGAGUAAUGUAUUUACUACCGUAAGUCAUGAAAGAAGACAUUCUUAUCUGAUAUCAUGUGAGGACAGCAUUGUCAGAUUCUUAAAACCUUGGAACAAGUUUAGGAGCAAUUUUACUGGCACACGUGUCGCCCUGUUCCAUCUAGGAGGCCUAUUUAAAUGUGUCCGUUAAAACAUGUUGUGUUGUUUAAGGAAAUAACAACUAUAAAUUGAGACAAUGUUUUAAAGCUUGCUAUGAACGAAGGGUUGCCAGAAAUUCUUUAUUGAAGGAUUAUAAUUUUUUUAUGGCUAGUGGCUCAUAAUUCUUUAUUGACAAAUACAUGAAGGGUUGCAAGAAAUUGGUCUAACAACCUCUACUAUCAUCUAUGCCAAUUAAAAAUAGAAUACACCACUUAGGCCAUUUCCCGGAAAGUAGAUUUCGGAAAACCAUUUUCCAAACUUUCCUAUGUUUGUUUGUCAUUAGGAAAGUUGGUCAACGGAAAACAUUUUCCGGUCAACAGAAAACACUUUCAAGUCAACGGAAAACACUUUCCAGUCAAUUUCAGUAAAAAAAAAAAUUUAACUUGGUUUUCAGGUAAUUGUUUUCCCUUUAGCUGUGUUUGUUUUCCGGAAAGUGGUUUCCAGGAAAUCACUUUCCAAACUUUGUUGUGUUUGUUUGCCAAUAGGAAAGUUGGUCAAUGGAAAACACUUUCUAGUAAAAGGAAAAUUUGGCUUGGUUUUCAGGAAAAUGUUUUCCUGAAAAAUUUGAGGAGAAAACACUUUUCGGAAGUUGUGAAAAAUUUAAAAAUGUCAUUAUUUGCUGAUUAUAUCAAAUUUGAUCCUUAAAUUUUUGAUUGCUAUAUAUAUUUUGUUUUGAAUAUUUAUUUUUCAAUUUUAUCUCUUAAAAUUUUAUUUUUAUAUUAACUUUGGUUCUUAUUUUUAUAAUUGCUAUUUGCUUUUUCCUUAUCAUUUUUUUAUUGAAAUUUUUUAUUUAUCAAAUUUGAUCCUCAUUUUUUUGAUUGUUACUUAUUUUAUUUGAAAUAAUUUAUGAAAUGUUGAUUAUUAUUAUUUUAAUUUCUUUAUUUUUAAUUUUUUUUUAAUUUUUUAGAUUUGAUCCCUAUUAUUUUGAUUAUUAUUUAUUUUAUUUGAGAUAAUUUAUGAAAGUUUUUUUUUUUCAAUUUCAUUCUCAUUCAACUUUUUAAUUUGUAAGAUUUAUUCCUCAUUAUUUUAAUAAACUUGAGAAAAAUAAAAUAUUAAUAAGUUAUUUUCCAGCUCAUUUUCCAUGACAUAACCAAACACUGGAAAGUAUUUUCCAACUCAUUUUCCAUUACACUACCAAACAUCGAAAAAUACUUUUUCGGAAUUCACUUUCAAAAAAAAAACUACUUUCCAGCAAACAAACGGAGCCUUGUAUUCCUUGAGAUUGUCAAACAGCUAGCAACAUAUGAAGACAUUACUACAACAACAUAACAUGGAUGAUUUUUUCAGAGCAAGCUUAAAACCGUGGCUUCUCAACAACUUAUCUAGUAAAGUUAUCACUACGGACAGAUGGAAAUGAUCCGUAAUUUUUGGGGUAGCAAUGUAGAGCAUUUGAAAAGAGCGAAAUAAUUUAAUUUUUAGACAUAAAAAACAACCCACAGGCAGUAUAGUUACAACUAUUAAAUGGAUGCUAACAAAUAUUGAGCAUGCGAAGUUUGCUCAUACGGAUCAAGGUAGCAACAAGAAACAAGUGCAAUCUGUAGGGUGACAAUAUCCUUCCAUGGACUCGAUAAAAUUAAAUGUGGAUGCUUGUAGCAAAGGCAACCCAGGAACCGCUGGAGCAGGAGGGAUCCUAAGAGACAACUUGGGUACAUGCUCUAAGGGUUUUGCUAUUAAUACAUGUAUUUGUUCAUCAGUCAAGGCAGAAUUGUGGGUUUUUAUCACUAGUUUGGAAGUAGCGUGUCUCUUGGGCUUAAAUGGGUCAUUUUAGAAUCGGAUUCUUCAUUGGUAGUUCAGCUAAUUACAAUGCCAACAGUUAAGGUAGAUGCAAAUUAUACCCUAGUUAUAAAAGCACAAGAGCUUAUAGCCAAGGACAGGGAGGUCCGAAUUUAGCACGUAUUCAGAGAGGCUAACACAGUAACAAAUUGGUUAGCAAAUUAUGAUCUUUCUAGAAACCCAAUUAGUAGAGAUAAUUAGAGUAUUCGGGAUCCAUCGGGGUUGUUUUUGAUCUUGUACUAUGAUUUUAUUGGAUCCACUCUUCCUCAUUUAAUAUAGUUUUUUUCUCGGGCUUUUAGCCUUGAUUUUCAACCAAAAAAAAAGCUUGCUUUGAAGGAGUACGAGCAUGGAAGCAAUUGAGGAUUUUGGAUUAGGGUUUCAGGACGUGAUGGACUAUGAUCAUGUCCAUGUUUGCUCUUGCUCCAUGCUGUCCAUAUUUUGGUUGCUAGUAAAACUAAGCUUGAAACUAGGUUUAUCAUCGGGUAAUUGUUUGAUUAAUCAACAUCUAAAAAUGACAGAAUCUUCUGAUGGGAAAAGUCCCAAGAAGCUGUUUUCAGGGCAGCGGUAGUGAGUAAUCGAAGCAAACAGAAAAGAAAUCGAAACCUAAAAUGACUCCAUGUUCCUAGGACGAUAACAAGUCCUUAUUAGCAAGCACAUUAAAUUACUGGAUCUUUACCACUGCUCCCCUAUUCCUACCCUCCUCUUUCACAAUUUCACCAUUUUCACCAUCUGGCUCUUGUGCACCUUCCUCUUUUUUCACAACUUCACCGUUGUUCCCGUCAAGCUCUUGUGAAAGCUUUCCCUCUGCUGUUCCUGAUUCUCCAUUGCUAUCUUUGAUUCCGUCCUCUCUCUUCAAUCUUUCGCUCUUAUCCUCGAGGAACUCAAUAAGACCUGUUAUAGCACUCUCUGGCUCCUCGUAUCUCAGCAGUUGCUCACCUACUUCUGCAGGGGUAACCCUUGCUUUCUCUACUAGCGCUUCGACACAAGGGAAAAGUGGGUGCUCUGUAAACCCAAGGUAGUUGGAGGCCAGCAAUUUGAAUCCACAUGGAGUGCAGUAGGACAUGUGAAUGUGCACAUCCAUACGACCAGGUCGCAACAAAGCAGGAUCAAGUCUUUCUUUGUGAUUGGUAGUGAAUAUUAUGAUUCGUUCAUCCCCACAGCUUGACCAUAAUCCAUCCACAAAGUUGAGCAAUCCUGAUAGGGUCACCUGAUACUAUACAAAAUUAUGUCUGUCAAGAAUGAGAAACGCUGCAAGCUUCAUUAAAAUAGCAAUAAAAGCUUUUGUGUUUUGAUUAUUGCCAUCUAUACAUCAGAUCCCCGUAUGGAGACCUUUGGUCAUGCAUGGAAAUUGUUUAUUUGAAGAGAAUAUCUGGUAUAUAACUCAUUGCCUGAGACAUUACUCCAUAUCACACAACUCCUGUAUCCAACUAGUCAUAGGCUGGAAAGAAAUUGUGAGCCAGUAAUCUAAUACCAUGCCACUCUUGACUUGGAAGAAGGAAAAGGUCAACGAUGUUUCAUUAGUAUACCAUGUAAUCUCAUCAUAAUAUGGAUUUUAUCAACUCCUCCUCAGUGCUAAAAUAUAGUUUCUGAACGCAAAAUAAAAUCGAGAAGAUUAAUUACCUGGUUUACUUGGUUAUAUGCUGGAUUAUGUCGAGAAGGCAUCAUUGCUCUGGCUUGUGCAAGCCUAUCCUGUAAUUCAAUGGAACAGUCGAUGUCCUCCACCACAAGUACGGACUUAUUCUCAGUUGAGAUCAACAAAUUUCUAAGCUCAGAAUUGGUCCUAAGAUCAGUCAAUUCCAGAUCAUAAAUAUCAAAAUUAAGAUAGUUAGCUAUUGCAGCAAUCAAGCUCGACUUUCCAGUCCCUGGCGGACCAAACAGUAAGUACCCACGUUUCCAUGCCUUGCCUACCCUCCUAUAGAACUCCCUUCUCUUCACAAACCUCUCAAGAUCCUCCAUGAUCACCCUCUUCCCUUCCAUAUCCAUUGCUAACGUAUCGAAUGUAGCAGGAUGAUGAAGAUUCACUGACUGCCAAGCACCCCCUCUCCUCCCCGACAUCCUGUCAGGGGCUAGCGUGAAAAGCUUCAAACUCUUCUUCUCCUCUUUCAUUUCUUUUGAUUUUUUAAUCACGUGCUUUAAAUAAACAUCAAUAACCAUAUCCCUAUGCUUCUUGUGAAAACUCAACUCAAAGAACUUAUCCUCAGAUUUUGGCAUAGAAUUAAAAUUAUCAGGGCUUGGAAUAUAUUUUAUUGGCACUUGUUUUGAGAUGAACUUCCAUUUCAGAGUAACCCCAUUGAAGGUAUCAACAAUUUCUUGGUUUCUGUCUAAAGAGAAUGAGAACUUACUCUCUUUCUUGGUCAGUGAGAUCUUGAGUUUCUUUGCAUCCGGAGGAAUUAUGGGCUCAAGAUAGAGCUCUGCGGCUUUGAAGAGAUUGUUGUGGUUAAGGUUGUCAUAUUCUUCAAUAACUAAAGUGAACUCCGAAGAAAAUGAGUUGAUCAUGGUUUUGAGUUUGUAGAAGAAGUAGUUUUGGAACUCAUAAGGAAGAUACUCCUUAACAAGGGAGCGGAAGAGCACAAUUGUGGCAGCAGCUGAGGCUGCUGCAGAGAUCAUAGUCUUAGCGGAGGGCAUUUGGGUGGCUGAACUGCUGGGAAACAUGGUUUUAGGCCUCCAAAAGAUUUGUGGGGUUGAAGGGCUCUUACAGUUUCUAAUGUUGGAGGAUUUCUG